rnacentral:rRNA from 1 species
AGAGUUUGAUCCUGGCUCAGGACGAACGCUGGCGGCGUGCCUAAUACAUGCAAGUAGAACGCUGAGUACUGGAGCUUGCUCUAGUACGAGGAGUUGCGAACGGGUGAGUAACGCGUAGGUAACCUGCCUGUUAGCGGGGGAUAACUAUUGGAAACGAUAGCUAAUACCGCAUAAUAGUGACUAACUCAUGUUAGUGAUUUGAAAGGUGCAAGAGCACCACUAACAGAUGGACCUGCGUUGUAUUAGCUAGUAGGUGAGGUAAGGGCUCACCUAGGCGACGAUACAUAGCCGACCUGAGAGGGUGAACGGCCACACUGGGACUGAGACACGGCCCAGACUCCUACGGGAGGCAGCAGUAGGGAAUCUUCGGCAAUGGGGGGAACCCUGACCGAGCAACGCCGCGUGAGUGAAGAAGGUUUUCGGAUCGUAAAGCUCUGUUGUAAGAGAAGAACGAUGUGUAGAGUGGAAAGUUACACAAGUGACGGUAUCUUACCAGAAAG